CCCUUAGAUGUUCUGGGCCGCACGCGUGCUACACUGAACGGUUCAAUGGGUAAGGUAGUGCGAAAGCAUGACCUAAUCUCGAAAUCCGUUCGUGCUGGGGAUAGAAGCUUGCAAUUAUCCUUCUUGAACGAGGAAUACCUUGUAAGCGUGAGUCAUCAUCUCACGCUGAAUACGUCCCUGCCCUUUGUACACACCGCCCGUCGCUCCUACCGAUUGAGUGUUCCGGUGAGGCUUUGGGAGAAUGGCCUCAACAUGAGUUUAUCGUGUUUUGCCGUUUGAACUUAGUCAAACCUUAUCACUUAGAGGAAGGAGAGGUCGUAACA
rnacentral:rRNA from 1 species